GCAAACCUCCACGUCGAGCCUUCCUUUCUUCUGAUGGGCUUGAACCGAAAUUGUAGUUUGGGCUUCAACGUCGCGUUGGUUGUAACAGCCCGUUAGCCCAAACCAUGCUCACUUCACUUUUCUUGCGUAAACCCUAAGCGCCGCGUCCGAUUGUCGAUUCGAGUCCUGUUCAUCUUCCUCUUCCUUCCGUUUGAGAGCCAAUCGUCUGUGAAAUCAAUUUCUCCCCACCUCUUCGCACUCUUUAAUCCUCCAUUAACCCCAUUAAUGGGGUCCGUUGGCUGCCUCCUUCGGAUCUUCUAUAAACCCUCCACUUCACGAAAUUGUAUUUACAUCCAAAUUGAUUUUCCUCUCUCCAAUUUCAAUCGCGAUGAAGACUACCGGUUCAAGCGACUCUGUGAAUUCGAAAAGCGAAGCGGCGGCCCUCUCCGCUCCGGCCAUAAAAGAGAUCUAGAUAAGUUUUGCAAAGCUGUCAUUUUUUAAAUUGAGCAGUGAAUCUGGCAGUGUUGUAAUCUUCUUACUCUGAUUCUAUUGAAAACCAUUUCAUAUACAGAUGCUCUUCGCACCAACAAGAGAGAAUUGGUUGUGGCUACACGAGUGGAGAACACUGGAGUAAGAAAAUGAGAGAACGAGAUGGAGAGCAACAGAGUUAAGUGACGGAGAGAUUGAGAUGAAGAGAACUGGAGAAGUCGAGAUAUAGAGACACAGAGCAAAUGAUAGAUAGUACGAGAUGAAAGAAACAGAAACUACAGCAAAAUAUGAAACGAGUACUGAGAGAGCGAAUGAGCGACGGAACAAACGAAGUGGUCUUGCUUGAUGUUAUUUGAUCUCCAUAUAUUGGUUGUCAUUUACGAUUCUUAAAGAUUAACUUGGAAUAUAAAGCUAAUGAGAACAGGUUUAACUACUGUAUUUUUAUAUACGCACUGAAAAUGGACGAAGAAGCGUGAAUGGAAGAUUCUGGGAAUGUCUGAAACCAUGUUUCUAAUUGCUACAAUCAUGGACAAUAAAGCUCAAGGAACUCAGUAACCAAUCCAAACAACGCCUGAUCGUGUGAGAAUAAGAGGAGAUCAAGGAGCCGUGUUUUUGGUCAUUUUCUCUUAGUCACAGAUAUGCAACAACCAAGAGCUAUAGUCACAACCAUACACUACAAAAUCCUUCAUACAACAAAUUCUAUUGAGAGUAAAUUUGUACAGGUUCAUACAACAUAUUGUUACUGUUGUUGCAACAAUAUACAUUGAGAGUAAAUUUAAGGAACUUUCAGCCUUUUUAUUAGCCACUAAGAGAUGUGUAAGUUAAUUUUUUUUUGAGCAAAGUGUAACUUAAUUUUUAAAAAACAUUUCUCCA